UUAAAAUAUUCUUCAUUUUAAGGUCUAUUUUAUCUGUUAUGAGUAUUGCUACUCUGGUUUUCCUUUGAUUCCCGAUUGCAUGAAAUAUUUUCUUCCAUCCUCUCACUUUCAAUUUGUAUGUGUCCCUAGGAGUGAAAUGGGUCUCUUGAAGACAGCAUAUAUAUGGGUCUUGUUUUUGUAUCUAUUCAGCCAGUCUAUGUCUUUUGGUUGGAGUGUUUAGUCCAUUAACAUUUAAGGUAAUUAUUGAUAUGUAUGUUCUUAUUGCCAUUUUAUUAAUUGCUUUGGAUUUGUUUUUGCUGCUCUUUUUUCUUUCCUUCUUCUCUUGUUCUCUCCUCUUGUGCUCUGAUGACUAUCUUUAGUGUUGUAUUUGAGUUGAUUUUUCUUAUUUGUUUGUGUAUUAAUUAUAGAUUUUUGGUUUGCAGUUAUUCUGAAGUUUUGAUAUAAGAGUCUAUAUAUAUAUAUGAGAUUGUUUGAAGUUGUUGGUCUCUUAAUUGCAAGUGCAUCUCCAAUGUCCUGCAUUUGUACUCUCCUCACGAUUUCUGAUUUUGGUGGCAUAAUUGUGUGGAUGAUUUUGUAUGUUUAUUGUAUAUAAAUUUUUAAAAGAUCAGGUUAACUGCAGUGUGGAGAAUGGUGUAAAAGAGAGUGAAGGUGGAGAAUUCAUUUAGAACAUAAGACCACAUUAGCAUUCCUAGGUAACCUUCGAAAUAAAGGAUUUGAGUGGUUUUCUUAUACAAUCCACAACAUUUGUCUUUUUGUCCUUGGUUUCUGGGCAGUUUUAGUAUGAUGUGUCUAUGGGUGGUUUUCUUUAUACUUGUUUUCAGGGAAGUUUGCAGAGAUUCUUGAGUAUGUGGCUUGAGAUCUUUCACAGCUUGCAAAAUUCUUGGCUAUUGUUUAUUUAUAUAUUACUUCUGUUUCAUUCUCUUUCUUCUUCUGGAACUUCAACUAAAUGAACAUGAGGCUCUUUUCACUGAAUAGCAUCUGUCUCCUAUGCUUAUUUUUUAUUCUUUUGUCUCUGUGCUUCAGUCUAGAUUUUGUUUGUUUGUUUGUUCUUCCAGUUCACAAAUUUUCUCUUCAGCGACAUCUUGUCUGCUAAGUCUAUCUAUUGAUAUUUGAUUUUUUGUUUUUGUUCUUUUGGUUGCAGCCACAGCAUGUGGAACUUCCCAGGCCAGGAUUGAACCCAUGCCACUUGGAAUUCCCAUUGUGGCUCAGCAGAUUAAGUACUCAACAUAGUGUCUGUGAGGAUGCAGGUUCAAUCCCUGUGGCCUUGCUUAGUGGGUUAAAAUCCAGCAUUGCA
rnacentral:lncRNA from 1 species